GCACAUGUAAAAAUAGGAUUGGUAACACGUGAUGCUUCCCACUAAUAAACUACGCAAUUGUUGGGCUCUUUAUAUAUAGGUGUAAUUGUUUAAGAUGAACUAAUUAAUACCUAAAAGCUAACAAAAUAAAAUAUCUUUUCAAAAAUAAAAAACCCAAAAAAAUAAAAAAUAAGUGUGCCCAGAAUGGUUCCAAUCGUCGUUAGAUCAUUAAUGUUCAUGCUUGGCCGUUGGAUCAGGUCAUUAGUAGGUGCCGAAAAAUUCAAAUUCUACACCCCAUUUAUUUGAUAGUCGGCCAACUCUUAAUAACCAAUCAAAAUGCAAUUGCACAAUGUAAAAAUAGGAUUUCUAACACUUGAUUCUUCCUACUAAAGAAAAGUGCAAAUUUUUGGCCCUUUAUAUAGGUUUAAAAAGUAGAUGGCCCCGUUUUUUCAAUUAGGUGUUAGAUAAUUAAUGUUCAUCCUUGACCGUUGGAUCAUGUCAUCAGUAGGUGCCGAAAAAUUCAAAUUCUACACGUAAUCUAUUUGAUAGUUGGCCAACUAUUAAUAACCAAUCAAAAUG
rnacentral:lncRNA from 1 species